GAUAAACGCUGGCGGCGCACAUAAGACAUGCAAGUCGAACGGACUUAAUCUUAAUAUUUAUAUUGAGAAGCGGUUAGUGGCGGACUGGUGAGUAACACGUAAGCAAUCUGCCUAUUAGAGGGGAAUAACAAUGAGAAAUCAUUGCUAAUACCGCAUAUGCCAUUAGUAUCGCAUGAUAUAGAUGGGAAAGGAGAAAUCCGCUAAUAGAUGAGCUUGCGCCUGAUUAGCUAGUUGGUGUGGUAAAGGCAUACCAAGGCAACGAUCAGUAGCCGGACUGAGAGGUUGAACGGCCACAUUGGGACUGAGAUACGGCCCAGACUCCUACGGGAGGCAGCAGUCGGGAAUAUUGCACAAUGGAGGGAACUCUGAUGCAGUGACGCCGCGUAUAGGAAGAAGGUCUUCGGAUUGUAAACUAUUGUCGUUAGGGAAGAAACAAGACAGUACCUAAGGAGGAAGCUCCGGCUAACUACGUGCCAGCAGCCGCCGUAAAAC
rnacentral:rRNA from 1 species